GACGAACGCUGGCGGCGUGCUUAACACAUGCAAGUCGAACGGAAAGGCCUGCUUUCCCUUGUGGAUUGCGGGUACUCGAGUGGCGAACGGGUGAGUAACACGUGAGUGAUCUGCCCCCAACUUGGGUAUAAGCCUGGGAAACUGGGUCUAAUUCCCGAUAGGACUGCAGGGUGGUGCCUGUGGUGGAAAACGAUUUUCUAGUGGUUGGGGAUGAGCUCGCGGCCUAUCAGCUUGUUGGUGGGGUAAUGGCCUACCAAGGCGGCGACGGGUAGCCGGCCUGAGAGGGUGGACGGCCACAUUGGGACUGAGAUACGGCCCAGACUCCUACGGGAGGCAGCAGUGGGGAAUAUUGCACAAUGGGCGGAAGCCUGAUGCAGCGACGCCGCGUGGGGGAUGACGGCCUUUGGGUUGUAAACUCCUUUCGACCGCGAGGAAGCCACCUGGUUGGAAGGGUGGUGACGGUAGUGAUAGAAGAAGCACCGGCUAACUACGUG
rnacentral:rRNA from 1 species